CAAUCUAGAGCUUGUUUAAGCAUUUUAUUUACAUUAAGAAGUAAGGUUAUUCAAUUAACUUAGUUUGA
rnacentral:tRNA from 1 species